CUCUGCUAACCACUGUUGUCUCUGGUGUUGGCAUGACAACAAUCAACAUGAUGGAUUGGCCGUGUCCCAGCAACUAGAACAUUUGCAAGGAAGAUCUGGAUCUGGCCACCUGGUAUUCUGCUCUGGGCGAAAACACCUGCCUGUCCUGCUUCAUGUUAGAGUGAAUGGAUGUGGAAUUUGAGCUCCUCUCUGCUUCAUAUUUAGCGCUUUUUCUCCUGACCUUGGUGGUCAUGGUGGAGUGGGGAGCCCUGCCAGCCCAGAAGACUUAUUCCCUCAAUUUAACAGCAGUCUGAGGUGUUUCUCCUGCAUCAUCGGAUCAAUGAAAAUUGGAGUUACAUCUUAUCCUGGCUCUCAGAGAGAGUGUGUCAGGUGGCCUGCGGAGAUUGACGCUCAGUGUUUGCAUUGGAGGACAAGAGGGCUACUCCUUUUGGACAUUGUGACGUCUGGCCCCUUUCACCA